AUUUGUAAAAAUUUCGAACCGCCAGUUACAAUUCUUCUUCUGACCCUACCGAUUAACACAAACCCAAACAAAAAAUCUUAUUAUUUUAUGGUAAAAAAACAACAACUUAAGUCUCAUCACACUGCAGAAAUUACUGUGACGUAUAUCACCAGACACGCCUUUCUAUGUGUGACGUAAUGACCGUCUGCGGUUCUUGUUUUAACUUUUGCAGUGUGGUGAUUUAGCAGUGAUUUUUCUUUUUUGUUUAGGAAAAAUUGAGAAUAUAAAUAAUAGAUUAAAAAGUUUAAAUAAUCUGGGUUGUCGUUUUGUUGCGAAUUUGUGUGCCUAACGAACUUUGAUCCCGCAUUGAUGAGCGCGUUCCUGCGAAGACUGCGCUCCUUCUUCGGAUUAUUCCGCCAAAUAGCCUCAGUGGGCGAACAAGAGCUCCCACAGGUUCGACAUAGUAAGCAUGCUUUUCUUGUGAUCUUAUCGUGGUUGGAGAGAAAGCGCAACAAGCUCCCAUUAUCGGUCGUAUUUCCCUUGAUCCCCAUCUUAAAUCUGCGGAAGUUUUUGGAAAUUUCUCUCAGCCAGUCAUGGCAUCCGUAGCGACGAAAAUAGCAAACUUAAAGCCCCAUGUCCCUUUGAUAAGGUUCCGGUAUAGAAAAGACCUUACUGGGAAAAAUGUUUCAGGAUUGGCUGCUCCGUCGACAAAAAAAGACACAUCACCUUCUACGGCAUCCUCAAGCCGGUCUCCCAUGACUGCUUUUGAUGAGCCUCCGUCAGGAUUCAAAAGAUUACCGAUAAGCGAAGAAGAAAUAUUUGCGAUAAACACCGGCGGUGUUCCUUUUUCGCGACCUGCGAAAGCGAAAUGAAGGCAGUUAGUUUGAUUGUGAUAUGUAACGCUGUACCGCGCCUUGACGCCUGUUUUCGAGUGGUGUUGUAUUUGUUAUUUCAGAUGACUACCGAGUAGUAAGUUAUUAGCUCGCCUGCCUGUUAACCUUGUUGAUUGUAUUUUUUCUUGAAGAGUUUCUGAAAUUUUGGACAGUUUUUAUGGAUAGUUUGCUUUGUGCGGUGUAAUGUUCUGGUCGCCUUUGCAAGUGUACUUGUAGUCUUGUUGUUAAUAGCAGAAGAAAUUUUUCCCCAGUGU